UGUAGCUCUGCUCCUUAACUUUCCC
rnacentral:piRNA from 1 species